AACGAACGCUGGCGGCAGGCCUAACACAUGCAAGUCGAGCGAGGACUUCGGUCCUAGCGGCGCACGGGUGCGUAACGCGUGGGAACGUGCCCUUUGCUUCGGAAUAGCCCUGGGAAACUGGGAGUAAUACCGGAUGAGCCCUUUGGGGGAAAGAUUUAUCGGCGAAGGAUCGGCCCGCGUUGGAUUAGGUAGUUGGUGGGGUAAUGGCCUACCAAGCCGACGAUCCAUAGCUGGUUUGAGAGGAUGAUCAGCCACACUGGGACUGAGACACGGCCCAGACUCCUACGGGAGGCAGCAGUGGGGAAUCUUAGACAAUGGGCGAAACCCUGAUCUAGCCAUGCCGCGUGAGCGAUGAAGGCCUUAGGGUUGUAAAGCUCUUUUAGCUGGGAAGAUAAUGACGGUACCAGCAGAAGAAGCCCCGGCUAACUCCGUG
rnacentral:rRNA from 1 species